UGAGUCGGCCAGGCGAUCGCGGUACCGGGAUGACCGGUAUCGAGGAAAGUCCGGACUCCACAGAGCAGGGUGGUGGGUAACGCCCACCCGGGGUGACCCGCGGGACAGUGCCACAGAAAGCAAACCGCCCACGCGCAGCGUGGGUAAGGGUGAAACGGUGGUGUAAGAGACCACCAGCGUUCCAGGUGACUGGAGCGGCUCGGUAAACCCCACCCGGAGCAAGAUCAAGAAGGAGGCGCUCGCGCUUCCGCGGGAACCGAUCGAGGGUUGCUCGCCCGAGGUUCCCGGGUAGAUCGCACCAGGCCGCCGGCAACGGUGGUCGCAGAUGGAUGAUCGCCGCCCGGCGUUCACGCCGGGCACAGAAUCCGGCUUAUCGGCCGGCUCACCCC
rnacentral:RNase_P_RNA from 1 species